rnacentral:rRNA from 1 species
AGAGUUUGAUCCUGGCUCAGAUUGAACGCUGGCGGCAUGCCUAAUACAUGCAAGUCGAACGGCAGCACGGGGGUAACCCUGGUGGCGAGUGGCGGACGGGUGAGUAACGCAUGGGAAUCUGCCCUGUAGUGGGGGAUAACCCGGGGAAACUCGGGCUAAUACCGCAUACGUCCUGAGGGAGAAAGCGGGGGACCUUAGGGCCUCGUGCUAUAGGAUGAGCCCAUGUCGGAUUAGCUAGUUGGCGGGGUAAUGGCCCACCAAGGCGACGAUCCGUAACUGGUCUGAGAGGACGACCAGUCACACUGGGACUGAGACACGGCCCAGACUCCUACGGGAGGCAGCAGUAGGGAAUAUUGGACAAUGGGGGAAACCCUGAUCCAGCAAUGCCGUGUGGGUGAAGAAGGCCUGCGGGUUGUAAAGCCCUUUCGGCCGGGAAGAAAAGCUGUUGGCGAAUACCCAGCAGUCUUGACGUUACCGGAGUAAGAAGCACCGGCAAACUCUGUGCCAGCAGCCGCGGUAAUACAGAGGGUGCGAGCGUUAAUCGGAAUUACUGGGCGUAAAGGGUGCGUAGGCGGUUACUUGAGUCGGAUGUGAAAUACCUGGGCUUAACCUGGGAAUUGCAUUCGAUACUGGGUGACUGGAGUAUGGUAGAGGGUAGUGGAAUUCCGGGUGUAGCGGUGAAAUGCGUAGAUAUCCGGAGGAACACCAGUGGCGAAGGCGGCUACCUGGACCAUACUGACGCUGAGGCACGAAAGCGUGGGGAUCAAACAAGAUUAGAUACCUGGUAGUCCACGCCCUAAACGAUGAGAACUAGCUG